UACGUAGGGCGGCAAGCGUUAUCCGGAAUUUAUUGGGCGUAAAGAGCUCGUAGGCGGUUUGUCGGCGUCUGCCGUGAAAGUCCGGGGCUCAACUCCGGGAUCUGCGGUGGGUACGGGCAGGACUAGAGUGAUGUAGGGGAGACUGGAAUUCCUGGGUGUAGCGGUGAAAUGCGCAGAUAAUCAGGAGGAACACCGAUGCGAAGGCAGGUCU
rnacentral:rRNA from 1 species